rnacentral:rRNA from 1 species
UUAAAUUGAAGAGUUUGAUCAUGGCUCAGAUUGAACGCUGGCGGCAGGCCUAACACAUGCAAGUCGAGCGGAAACGAGUUAUCUGAACCUUCGGGGGACGAUGGCGGCGUCGAGCGGCGGACGGGUGAGUAAUGCCUAGGAAAUUGCCCUGAUGUGGGGGAUAACCAUUGGAAACGAUGGCUAAUACCGCAUGAUGCCUACGGGCCAAAGAGGGGGACCUUCGGGCCUCUC